rnacentral:tRNA from 1 species
GGGCGCGUGGCGGAAUGGCAGACGCACCAGUCUUAGGAACUGGCGCCGCAAGGCUUGGAGGUUCAAAUCCUCUCGCGCCCACCA